rnacentral:rRNA from 1 species
GUCGAGCGGAACGAGUUAUCUGAACCUUCGGGGAACGAUAACGGCGUCGAGCGGCGGACGGGUGAGUAAUGCCUAGGAAAUUGCCCUGAUGUGGGGGAUAACCAUUGGAAACGAUGGCUAAUACCGCAUGAUGCCUACGGGCCAAAGAGGGGGACCUUCGGGCCUCUCGCGUCAGGAUAUGCCUAGGUGGGAUUAGCUAGUUGGUGAGGUAAGGGCUCACCAAGGCGACGAUCCCUAGCUGGUCUGAGAGGAUGAUCAGCCACACUGGAACUGAGACACGGUCCAGACUCCUACGGGAGGCAGCAGUGGGGAAUAUUGCACAAUGGGCGCAAGCCUGAUGCAGCCAUGCCGCGUGUGUGAAGAAGGCCUUCGGGUUGUAAAGCACUUUCAGUCGUGAGGAAGGUGGUGUAGUUAAUAGCUGCAUCAUUUGACGUUAGCGACAGAAGAAGCACCGGCUAACUCCGUGCCAGCAGCCGCGGUAAUACGGAGGGUGCGAGCGUUAAUCGGAAUUACUGGGCGUAAAGCGCAUGCAGGUGGUUUGUUAAGUCAGAUGUGAAAGCCCGGGGCUCAACCUCGGAAUAGCAUUUGAAACUGGCAGACUAGAGUACUGUAGAGGGGGGUAGAAUUUCAGGUGUAGCGG